rnacentral:rRNA from 1 species
AUGCACCGAAGCUGCGGCAGCGACACUGUGUGUUGUUGGGUAGGGGAGCGUUCUGUAAGCCUGUGAAGGUGUGUCGUGAGGCAUGCUGGAGGUAUCAGAAGUGCGAAUGCUGACAUAAGUAACGAUAAAGCGGGUGAAAAGCCCGCUCGCCGGAAGACCAAGGGUUCCUGUCCAACGUUAAUCGGGGCAGGGUGAGUCGACCCCUAAGGCGAGGCCGAAAGGCGUAGUCGAUGGGAAACGGGUUAAUAUUCCCGUACUUGGUGUUACUGCGAAGGGGGGACGGAGAAGGCUAUGUUGGCCGGGCGACGGUUGUCCCGGUUUAAGCGUGUAGGUGUGUGUUCCAGGUAAAUCCGGUUCACUUUAACACUGAGGCGUGACGACGAGGCACUACGGUGCUGAAGCAACAAAUGCCCUGCUUCCAGGAAAAGCCUCUAAGCAUCAGGUAACAUCAAAUCGUACCCCAAACCGACACAGGUGGUCAGGUAGAGAAUACCAAGGCGCUUGAGAGAACUCGGGUGAAGGAACUAGGCAAAAUGGUGCCGUAACUUCGGGAGAAGGCACGCUGACACGUAGGUGAAGUGAUUUACUCAUGGAGCUGAAGUCAGUCGAAGAUACCAGCUGGCUGCAACUGUUUAUUAAAAACACAGCACUGUGCAAACACGAAAGUGGACGUAUACGGUGUGACGCCUGCCCGGUGCCGGAAGGUUAAUUGAUGGGGUCAGCGCAAGCGAAGCUCCUGAUCGAAGCCCCGGUAAACGGCGGCCGUAACUAUAACGGUCCUAAGGUAGCGAAAUUCCUUGUCGGGUAAGUUCCGACCUGCACGAAUGGCGUAAUGAUGGCCAGGCUGUCUCCACCCGAGACUCAGUGAAAUUGAACUCGCUGUGAAGAUGCAGUGUACCCGCGGCAAGACGGAAAGACCCCGUGAACCUUUACUAUAGCUUGACACUGAACAUUGAGCCUUGAUGUGUAGGAUAGGUGGGAGGCUUUGAAGUGUGGACGCCAGUCUGCAUGGAGCCGACCUUGAAAUACCACCCUUUAAUGUUUGAUGUUCUAACGUGGACCCGUGAUCCGGGUUGCGGACAGUGUCUGGUGGGUAGUUUGACUGGGGCGGUCUCCUCCUAAAGAGUAACGGAGGAGCACGAAGGUUGGCUAAUCCUGGUCGGACAUCAGGAGGUUAGUGCAAUGGCAUAAGCCAGCUUGACUGCGAGCGUGACGGCGCGAGCAGGUGCGAAAGCAGGUCAUAGUGAUCCGGUGGUUCUGAAUGGAAGGGCCAUCGCUCAACGGAUAAAAGGUACUCCGGGGAUAACAGGCUGAUACCGCCCAAGAGUUCAUAUCGACGGCGGUGUUUGGCACCUCGAUGUCGGCUCAUCACAUCCUGGGGCUGAAGUAGGUCCCAAGGGUAUGGCUGUUCGCCAUUUAAAGUGGUACGCGAGCUGGGUUUAGAACGUCGUGAGACAGUUCGGUCCCUAUCUGCCGUGGGCGCUGGAGAACUGAGGGGGGCUGCUCCUAGUACGAGAGGACCGGAGUGGACGCAUCACUGGUGUUCGGGUUGUCAUGCCAAUGGCACUGCCCGGUAGCUAAAUGCGGAAGAGAUAAGUGCUGAAAGCAUCUAAGCACGAAACUUGCCCCGAG